GGCCUCGUAGUCGAGUGGUAAGGACAUUUGCGUCUCACCCUGAAGUCCCUGGUUCAAACUCCGGUCGAGGAACUA